UGCGCGGCCGCAGCGGCGCAUUCGGCGCUGCUCCCAUGACGAGCGUGCCGAGCGGCGCCGGCGGCGGCGGGGAUGGCGCGGCCGGCCAGGAGGAACAAGAAAGUUGUUGAUUAUUCUCAGUUUGGGGAUUUGGAAGAUGAUGAUGAAGACUUUGCACCUUCAAGCAAAAAAUCCAGAACACAGCUCAAGGAAUCAAAGAAGGAGAAAAAAGAGAAGCAAAAAAAGCCCAAAGAAGUGACUGCAUCACAGACCCAGCCACUUAGUAAAAGGUUAUCCUUGGAUGACAAACUUUAUAAAAGAGAUUUGGAAGUUGCCUUAGCCUUAUCUGUCAAAGAAAAAUCUGCAAAUCCCCAAGAGGUGCAAAAUUCAGAAGAACAAGGUAAGGAUAUUGAAUCAGAAAAUACAGAGAGGAGACCCCCUUUUUCCAACUGCAGUGUAGACAGUGAACGUUUAGGUCUCAAUCAGAUUAUGGAUGAUGAUGCACCUGAGGGUGGUGGGAGGCAAAGGACAGCAGCAUCCAAAGUUCCAGCACAUCACAAGUCAUUGGUGGUUGACAGUGAUGACAGAGAACAUGAUCCUGACUCUGAGUCAGAGUCUGUACCCAUAUCACCUGUAGCUUCUCCUUCCUGGAUAACAGAACACAACUCUGAGCCAAGGCAGAAGGUGAUGUCCAGUCCCUCAGAGGCAGCUGGGAGGCCUCUGCAUGCAUCAAGUCCUGUCACAGACAAAAAGCCUAAAUGGACACCACCAGCUCCGUCAGGAAGCAGUAAUGCCUCUGUGAAAUGUGUUCCUGUUAAAUCACCUACCCACUGCCUUAGACUUGGCCUCUCCAGACUGGCAAGAGUCAAACCUCUCCAUCCCAGUGCUACCAGCAGUUAAAUGGUCACUUUAGAUGUUGGUUGCAGUCUGGCAGAUAUUUUUGCCUGUGUAUGCUCUUACUGGAAGUCAGCAGCAUUAGUCAGGCUCAGACAGUGAGGAAUUUUCCUUGGAGCUCCUGGGGCUUCAUUGAGGACCAUGAUACCAUGCUGAGGUCAGAUCACUUUUGUUGUCCCUUCGUUCGUUAACCCAGCAGACUCGAAGUGUAUCAGUGCAAACCACAAUGAUGAAAACAGGAUGUUACCACUUCUGGUGACCCUCUGUGCAAAACCCUACUCUUUGCAUUUAAAACACUUUGUCCUGCUGCUUACAAAGAAUUUCUGGUCUGUGUCCACUCAGGUGUGACAUCAUUCUCUUGAGAGGAAGCCAAAUAGCUGUGAUGAAAAAAAAAAAAAGAACUUCUUUGAGUUGAGGCUGUUUCUGCUCUGUCCUCACACCCCCAAUAUUUACAACACGUGUACAUUUAAAUGAAGACUUUGAGCAUGAGUUGUUCCUGUACAUUUGGGAUAUUAAAAGACUGAAAUUUA